CUGUUCUCCAAAGUGAAAGUGAAAUGAGGAAGGACGGCCGCUGGGCUAUAGGAGAGGCGUAAUUAGCAUCUGUGUCAAGGUUCAAGCUAAGCCUCCAUCACCCUCAGGCUCGCUUAACAGACUUUGAGUGAAGCUACAGAGACUGUGGUUGAGGAGGAAGAAAGAGCCCUCUUGACGAUUUAGAUAUUGGGUGGAGAACUCUUCCCAUAUCCUUGAGUAUUCUCUACUCAGAGAACGUUCUCACUGGAUUUCUCAUUGAUUCUUAGUUGUGGUCAGAACACUUGAUACAUCCUCUCUCCCUCUGGGGGCGUGAGGGGGGAACAUCUCCUGCACACAACUGUCAUACCCGUGAGGCCACAACUGACAUACACGCUGGAAGGAGACAGUGCUGUGUGGUGCCUUGUUUUCUCUUUUGAAUUACAUCCUCCUGAGACGGUGGCUGACCCUAGGCCCGUGGCGUUCAUGGAGUGAUUGACAUGCGUGAUUAGCGGACUAGUGAGAGAGAACCAGGGAAAUUACUGUCAAAACAAUUACAUAUAGGGACAUCAGAACAAUGACUUGAGAGCCCCCAGGGACUUAGAGACCAUCCUAGCGCUGCCACGAUGCCCUCUGGGACCGUAGCCAAGUCACAUCAUCUCUUUGUGUCUUCUUCUCUUCCCGUUGUGGUUUACUGACUCAGACAGGAUUGAAUUCAUCAUUGGAUCCCUGAACAUCUCAUCCAGGACCCCAAGUGUGCACUUUUGAAGACUUUGUUUCAUUCCUGGCUAAUUCAGGCUCCAUUUGUCAACAAGCUACAACAUGCAGUGCCAACUCAACAAGGAUAUAUGAAACUACAGCUGACCAUGGAAAAUAGCACUUACCCUUAGAUGGACACUGCUAUAAGGACUCUGAGGCCUGAGACUAGCAAGAGGGGGAGGCCCAAUGCCCCUCACCAGCCCAGUUCAGCAGGAAGUAGCCAGAAAGACCUUGACGCCCCUAUUCCCAAAAAAUUGGUCCUCCCAUCUCUUGAGGGGGAAGUGUUAAGUAGUUAGAAUAGGAAACAGGAGUCCAGAAUGGUGGUGGCUAAAAGACAAGGAAGGGAAAAGCCCAGGAAAAUAGAACAAAUGAGGGUCUGAGAACCAGAAUGAGGACCUUAGGUAGAACAAACAGCACUCCUGGCUAGCCUAACUUACAUAGGGCAGGCCCAGGGGGAGGAGAAAAAACAUAAAAAGAGGAGUCAAAGGGCUGGGGGUCUCUCUUUCCCCACCCCACUCGCACUCUCUCUCUCUCUCUCCCUCUCCCCCUCUCUCGCUCUCUCUCUGUCUCCCUCCCUCUUCUCUUCAGGUCUUUUAGGUUGGCACAUCCUCACGCCUUGAGGAUGUAUUUUCCUUAAUUUUCUAAAUAAAACUGAGCUGUAACAUGGAGCUGUAACACUGGUCCAUCUGAAAGCUGGUCCGUCACUUCAAAUUUUGUUGUGACGAGACAGAACCAAGGAAAUUACACACUCCCCCAACAGUUUCACUAGGAAUAUAGUCCCUGGCCCUUGAGUGGGAAAUUCCUGGCUCUUUUGGAGUCCUCUAGCCUUGAAGCUGGGUUAAAGUCCCAGGUUUCUUUGUUUACAAGUUACCGUUAGUUAACAAUACAGGAGCAUCUCAGUAAACUGAAAACCCCUUCUCAUACCCCUGCUUACUGUAAGUGCCAUAGUACCACUAUGGCACUAACUCUGUCCAUUUCCAUUCUUGUUGAAAUGUAAAAAUGGGAUUUUACUGAGGAUAAUUUAGAACUUCAGUGACUUCCUCAAACUGGUUCCUUUAAGACCUCUCCCUUACAAUUGCUUCUUUUUACUAACUCCAAUCUUCCCUUCAGCUGCCUUGAAUCCUUUGAUAUGAUUGCCUUCAAGCCCUACCUCCUCUACUUCUCUGUCUACUUCUGCAAGACUUUGCCUUCCCAUUCCAGCCCCUCAUUUUCUUUCUUUUCUUUCUUUUUUUUUAAGCUCCACAUUUUCUUAUAGUCACUUGAGCAUUACGUUCCCUGUCCGCUACUGGGGACUCUCAAGAGGCUCAGUUCAGUUCAGUUCAAUUGCUCAGUCGUGUCCAACUCUUUCCGACCCCAUGGACUGCAGCACGCCAGG